rnacentral:rRNA from 1 species
UACGUAGGGUGCAAGCGUUAAUCGGAAUUACUGGGCGUAAAGCGUGCGCAGGCGGUUAUGCAAGACAGAUGUGAAAUUCCCGGGCUCAACCUGGGAACUGCAUUUGUGACUGCAUAGCUAGAGUACGGUAGAGGGGGAUGGAAUUCCGCGUGUAGCAGUGAAAUGCGUUGAUAUGCGGAGGAACACCGAUGGCGAAGGCAAUCCCCUGGACCUGUACUGACGCUCAUGCACGAAAGCGUGGGGAGCAAACAGA